rnacentral:rRNA from 1 species
CAGCCGCCGCGGGAAUACGAAGGGGGCUAGCGUUGUUCGGAAUUACUGGGCGUAAAGCGCACGUAGGCUGACAUUUAAGUCAGGGGUGAAAUCCCGGGGCUCAACCUCGGAACUGCCUUUGAUACUGGGUGUCUUGAGUGUGGAAGAGGUAAGUGGAAUUGCGAGUGUAGAGGUGAAAUUCGUAGAUAUUCGCAGGAACACCAGUGGCGAAGGCGGCUUACUGGUCCACAACUGACGCUGAGGUGCGAAAGCGUGGGGAGCAAACAGGAUUAGAUACCCCAGUAGUCCCUGUCUCUUAUAA